GCCGCCGCAUUAUAUGACGACGGCACAGUCGGUGCGACUGGAGGGGAAUUUGAACUUCAGGUUGCCAUGUUUGAGGAAGUAUUAUGUGUUGCUGUGCUGUUUAUUGAUGUGGAUCCCAUCAUACGUUCAUUGUUCAGGAGGUUCACUAGACCAAGCAGCCUUUUGGGUUCCUCUAAGUAAGUACUGUAUAGAAUAAUGGGACUGGGAGGAUGGUGUAGGUUUAAAUUUAUUAGACAAGUACAUAUACACCAACAAGACAGUGUACAAGCGGUGUCACAAGAAAGUUUGU